rnacentral:rRNA from 1 species
CAGUCGCCGCGGUAAUACGAACCGUGCGAACGUUAUUCGGAAUUACUGGGCUUAAAGCGCGUGUAGGCGGGUGGGCACGUCGGACGCUGAAAUCCCCCGGCUCAACCGGGGAAGUGGCGCCGAUACGGCCGGCCUGGAGGGGGGUAGGGGGGCCUGGAACUUCCGGUGGAGCGGUGAAAUGCGUUGAGAUCGGAAGGAACGCCCGUGGCGAAAGCGAGGCCCUGGACCCUUUCUGACGCUGAGACGCGAAAGCCAGGGGAGCGAACGGGAUUAGAUACCCGCGUAGUCCCUGUCUCUUAUA